AUGUUGCCAGCACGCCCUUCGGGGUGGUGGGGACUCAUAGGAGACUGCCGGGGUCAACUCGGAUGAAGGUGGGGAUGACGUCAAGUCAUCAUGCCCCUUAUGUCCANGGCUUCACGCAUGCUNCAAUGGCCGGUACAAAGGGCUGCNAAACUGUAAGGUGGANCGAAUCCCAAAAAGCCGGUCUCAGUUCGGAUUGGGGUCUGCAACUCGACCCCAUGAAGUCGGAGUCGCUAGUAAUCGCAGAUCAGCAACGCUGCGGUGAAUACGUCCCGGGCCUUGUACACACCGCCCGUCACGUCAUGUAAAGUCGGCAACUACCGAAGCCGGUGGCCUAACCUUGU
rnacentral:rRNA from 1 species